UACGUAGGGUGCAAGCGUUGUCCGGAAUUAUUGGGCGUAAAGAGCUCGUAGGCGGUUUGUCGCGUCUGCUGUGAAAACUCGGGGCUUAACCCUGGGCCUGCAGUGGGUACGGGCAGACUAGAGUGCGGUAGGGGAGACUGGAAUUCCUGGUGUAGCGGUGAAAUGCGCAGAUAUCAGGAGGAACACCGAUGGCGAAGGCAGAUCUCUGGGCCGUAACUGACGCUGAGGAGCGAAAGCAUGGGGAGCGAACAGG
rnacentral:rRNA from 1 species